UCCGCGGGGCGGGACUAAGGGAAACCCUGAAAAUUCUCCGCGUGGAAGAUGACGUCACGCAGUCCCAGCCCUUAUGCAACCGCAGCUUGAACCCCGCAGCAGCUGGAACUUUAUUUUUUCUCUAAUUAUCAACCAAGGAUGCUGCUUAUACGGCUUGUUUGAAAAGCAAAUGACCGCCAUUAUGAACAUUGCCAGCUUAAAGGGAAAAAAGUUUUAAAGACAUUCCUCUAUUAUAACAUGCAUCAUCACAUGGCCACCCCAAAACAUGUUGCUUCCUACAGUGACAGGGCAGAAGCAAACUGGAUGAGUUCUGACAGCUGAAUGGACUACUUUGCCAUUGCUGAUGACAGCUUUUCUACAGCAUUGCAGGCUGCCUUGGAGGCAUCCGGGAGGCCAUCUGGCAUGCGUGUUCUCUCUUCCAACGCCUUGCCCACAGCUGCUCAUCUGUGUGGCCACUGCCCAUACUCCCCAGCAUCUGUUGCCUGAGGAAUGAAAAUGGGCACAUGGAUACUGAAGACCUUAGGAAAGCACUGCCUAAAAACAGGUCUUGCCUUGCAUUCAGUUGCAUCCUGUCUUCAGAGAUAAUAGAUGAGAAUGGCUAAGUAGAGAUCAAACUGACAGAAGGAAGCAUCAUUUGCAAGAUGUACUGCAUUUCUCUGAUCUCUCUUCAUCAAACACAAAGGAAGCACAAACACCACCGAGAGUUAAAAGUAUGACAAAAACACAGGACUUCAAAAUAAUUGCUGUGUGACAUGGGACCCAUCUACAGUAACAUUUUAUAUUGGCACUAUCAUAUCUGGUGCACUCACACAGCAGACAGCUUAAGCACCAGGCCCUUGAUACUGAUACUGCUUUUGCUCUGUUCCCCUCAAUGUUCUGUUUUCUCCUCACCCAGACCAUAAUAUACUUGUCUAGUGACUGUAGUUUCUGUGCACUGCUGAGAUACUACCCUGCAGACAGCCAGUGUGAAGCAGUGGUUGGAAUACUGGAAUGGGACUCAGAAGACUUAGGUUUGGCCCCUCACUUGGCUGUGAAGCUCACUGGGUAACUUUGGGCCAAUUACCAACCCAGUUACUAUGUAAUGGCAAACCCUGAGUGAAUCAACCCAUGAUUUGCUGGGAACAAGUGGGGAUUAGUGUGCUGCCUCUGGCAUGCUUCCCUUUCGUUUUACAACAUAUUAUUUAUUUAUUUAUUUAUUUAUU